CACUUCAAAAUCUUUCAUAUGCCAAGGAAAAAUCAUUCAAAUCUCUUUUGAAGUUUCCUAAUGUUGCUUCAAAUUCAGAACCUAUUAAAAACAUAUCCCUAAUCGAAUCAGCAGCUGCUUUUUCCUCCAAACCAUCACAAAAAUGCUUGCUUGAGAAGAUCGAUGUCAUAACAGGAGAAGAAACAGAACAUAAUGUGUUAAAGAUCAACUGCAAGAUCUUUGUAUUCAACAAAGCCACACAGUCCUGGAGUGAAAGAGGCCAAGGGGUUUUGAGACUGAACGACACAGCCGGCAGUGAGUGCGGGACGCUGCAGUCAAGACUGAUCAUGCGCAACCAAGGCAGCCUGAGGCUGGUUCUCAAUAGCAGACUCUGGGCUCAGAUGAGGACUCAAAGAGCAAGUCAUAAAAGCUUGCGGAUAACCGCGACUGAUUUAGAAGACGACCGCAUAAAAAUAUUCUUAAUUCAGGCUAAAUUUACAGUCAUCUCUUUAAAAAAAUAUAACUGCAAGGCAUUUCAUUAAAUCAUAUGAAAUGUAUAUUUUCACUUAUGCUUUGAAUCUCCUAAUACAUAUGUUCAAGUAAGAAUUCUUUUACAAGAGUGUCCAUUUGAGGACUUUUAUCCAUUGCAUCUUCCAUAUUUGACUCAAAAUCAGCUCACAAGAGUUGAUAAAUAAUGGAACAAAAUGUAAUGUAUUACAUAUGUGUCACAAAUAUACAGAAGGCAAAUAUCAAUGUGCUUUAUUUAUGUCUUAAUAGUCUAGUCAGUGUAAGGCUAUGCAGAAGCCAUUUUAUAACAAAUGUAUUGUAUAUGGCCAAAUGAGUAUCUCAACUCCCAUCAUUGUCAUAUGAUUUCAAUGAUUUUACAGAUGUUUUAUGCCUUUUUCAUAUUUUAGAGAUUCUUUAUGAAUCAUGCAUGAAAGAUCCAUGUCAGAAUUUAGCCAUAUUCUAUUUUAUUAGUAGCCCUAAACUAUCUCAUUACAGAAUAAAGAUUCAAGAUCCUAAA
rnacentral:lncRNA from 1 species